rnacentral:lncRNA from 1 species
GGCGGCGUCCUUGUGGUGACGGCUGAGGAGGAGAGAGUAGAUGAAAUGAGCGACGGAGGAGAGCGAGGAGGGGUGCAAGUGGUAGCGGCGAAGGGAGGUGAGGAGGGCGUCAUCGGUAAGUGGUCGGGGUAGCAGCGGGCGAGGGAGGCAAAGGAGAGGGAGAGAAAGAGAGAGAAAGAAAUAUGGGGACACAACGGGAGAAGGAUCGAGAAAGAGAGAGACGGGUUGGUGGGAGAGAUGAGGGGGUGUGCGGUGUGAAAGAAGAGAGGGGAAGAUGAGAGGACGUGCAAUAGAAAAAAAGGAGAAAGAGAAUAGACAGGUAGUGUAAAAAAUAAAAAAUAAAAAAUUUCAAACUA